AGCUGGAUGGCUCAGUGGAUAGAGCACCAACUCUGGAGUCAGGAUGACUCAAGUUUAAAUCUUGGUUCAGCUC
rnacentral:tRNA from 1 species